AGAGUUUGAUCAUGGCUCAGGAUUAACGCUGGCGGCGUGCAUGAAACAUGCAAGUCGAGCGCGGCACGUGGCUUCGGUCACGUGUCUAGCGGCGCACGGGUGAGUAACACGUGAGCAACCUACCUUCGAGUCCGGAAUAGCCCUGGGAAACCAGGAUUAAUGCCGGAUGUGGUCACGAUGGGGCAUCCCGACGUGAAAAAAGGCGCAAGCCGCUCGAUGACGGGCUCGCGGCCUAUUAGCUUGUUGGUGGGGUAACGGCCUACCAAGGCGAUGAUGGGUAGCUGGUCUGAGAGGACGAUCAGCCACACUGGGACUGAGACACGGCCCAGACUCCUACGGGAGGCAGCAGUGGGGAAUAUUGGACAAUGGGCGAAAGCCUGAUCCAGCCAUGCCGCGUGGGUGAAGAAGGCCUUAGGGUUGUAAACCCCUUUCAGCGGGGAAGAUAAUGACGGUACCCGCAGAAGAAGCCCCGGCUAACUCCGUGCCAGCCGCCGCGGUAAUAC
rnacentral:rRNA from 1 species